rnacentral:rRNA from 1 species
CGGGAGGCAGCAGUGGGGAAUAUUGCACAAUGGGCGCAAGCCUGAUGCAGCCAUGCCGCGUGUGUGAAGAAGGCCUUCGGGUUGUAAAGCACUUUCAGUCGUGAGGAAGGUAGUGUAGUUAAUAGCUGCAUUAUUUGACGUUAGCGACAGAAGAAGCACCGGCUAACUCCGUGCCAGCAGCCGCGGUAAUACGGAGGGUGCGAGCGUUAAUCGGAAUUACUGG